rnacentral:rRNA from 1 species
GACGAACGCUGGCGGCGUGCUUAACCCAUGCAAGUCGACCGGAAAGGCCCUGCUUUUGUGGGGUGCUCGAGUGGCGAACGGGUGAGUAACACGUUAGUAACCUUCCCUUGACUUUGGGAUAACUUUAGGGAACUGGGGCUAAUACCGGAUAGGAGCUCCUGCUGCCUGGUGGGGGUUGGAAAGUUUCGGCGGUUGGGGAUGGACGCGCGGCUUAUCAGCUUGUUGGUGGGGUAGUGGCUUACCAAGGGUUUGACGGGUAGCCGGCCUGAGAGGGUGACCGGCCACAAUGGGACUGAGAUACGGACCAGACUCCUACGGGAGGCAGCAGGGGGGAAUAUGGCACAAUGGGCGGAAGCCUGAUGCAGCAACGCCGCGUGCGGGAUGACGGCCUUCGGGGUGUAAACCGCUUUCGCCGGUGACGAAGCGUGAGUGACGGUAAUGGGUAAAGAAGCACCGGCUAACUACGUG